rnacentral:rRNA from 1 species
UUAAGUUAUUAAGGGCGCACGGUGGAUGCCUUGGCACUAGAAGCCGAUGAAGGACGUUACUAACGACGAUAUGCUUUGGGGAGCUGUAAGUAAGCUUUGAUCCAGAGAUUUCCGAAUGGGGAAACCCAGCAUGAGUUAUGUCAUGUUAUCGAUAUGUGAAUACAUAGCAUAUCAGAAGGCACACCCGGAGAACUGAAACAUCUUAGUACCCGGAGGAAGAGAAAGAAAAUUCGAUUCCCUUAGUAGCGGCGAGCGAAACGGGAAGAGCCCAAACCAACAAGCUUGCUUGUUGGGGUUGUAGGACACUCUAUACGGAGUUACAAAGGACGACAUUAGACGAAUCAUCUGGAAAGAUGAAUCAAAGAAGGUAAUAAUCCUGUAGUCGAAAAUGUUGUCUCUCUUGAGUGGAUCCUGAGUACGACGGAGCACGUGAAAUUCCGUCGGAAUCUGGGAGGACCAUCUCCUAAGGCUAAAUACUCUCUAGUGACCGAUAGUGAACCAGUACCGUGAGGGAAAGGUGAAAAGCACCCCGGAAGGGGAGUGAAAUAGAACCUGAAACCGUGUGCUUACAAGUAGUCAGAGCCCGUUAAUGGGUGAUGGCGUGCCUUUUGUAGAAUGAACCGGCGAGUUACGAUUUGAUGCAAGGUUAAGCAGUAAAUGUGGAGCCGUAGCGAAAGCGAGUCUGAAUAGGGCGUUUAGUAUUUGGUCGUAGACCCGAAACCAGGUGAUCUACCCUUGGUCAGGUUGAAGUUCAGGUAACACUGAAUGGAGGACCGAACCGACUUACGUUGAAAAGUGAGCGGAUGAACUGAGGGUAGCGGAGAAAUUCCAAUCGAACCUGGAGAUAGCUGGUUCUCUCCGAAAUAGCUUUAGGGCUAGCCUCAAGUGAUGAUUAUUGGAGGUAGAGCACUGUUUGGACGAGGGGCCCCUCUCGGGUUACCGAAUUCAGACAAACUCCGAAUGCCAAUUAAUUUAACUUGGGAGUCAGAACAUGGGUGAUAAGGUCCGUGUUCGAAAGGGAAACAGCCCAGACCACCAGCUAAGGUCCCAAAAUAUAUGUUAAGUGGAAAAGGAUGUGGCGUUGCCCAGACAACUAGGAUGUUGGCUUAGAAGCAGCCAUCAUUUAAAGAGUGCGUAAUAGCUCACUAGUCGAGUGACACUGCGCCGAAAAUGUACCGGGGCUAAACAUAUUACCGAAGCUGUGGAUUGUCCUUUGGACAAUGGUAGGAGAGCGUUCUAAGGGCGUUGAAGCAUGAUCGUAAGGACAUGUGGAGCGCUUAGAAGUGAGAAUGCCGGUGUGAGUAGCGAAAGACGGGUGAGAAUCCCGUCCACCGAUUGACUAAGGUUUCCAGAGGAAGGCUCGUCCGCUCUGGGUUAGUCGGGUCCUAAGCUGAGGCCGACAGGCGUAGGCGAUGGAUAACAGGUUGAUAUUCCUGUACCACCUAUAAUCGUUUUAAUCGAUGGGGGGACGCAGUAGGAUAGGCGAAGCGUGCGAUUGGAUUGCACGUCUAAGCAGUAAGGCUGAGUAUUAGGCAAAUCCGGUACUCGUUAAGGCUGAGCUGUGAUGGGGAGAAGACAUUGUGUCUUCGAGUCGUUGAUUUCACACUGCCGAGAAAAGCCUCUAGAUAGAAAAUAGGUGCCCGUACCGCAAACCGACACAGGUAGUCAAGAUGAGAAUUCUAAGGUGAGCGAGCGAACUCUCGUUAAGGAACUCGGCAAAAUGACCCCGUAACUUCGGGAGAAGGGGUGCUCUUUAGGGUUAACGCCCAGAAGAGCCGCAGUGAAUAGGCCCAAGCGACUGUUUAUCAAAAACACAGGUCUCUGCUAAACCGUAAGGUGAUGUAUAGGGGCUGACGCCUGCCCGGUGCUGGAAGGUUAAGAGGAGUGGUUAGCUUCUGCGAAGCUACGAAUCGAAGCCCCAGUAAACGGCGGCCGUAACUAUAACGGUCCUAAGGUAGCGAAAUUCCUUGUCGGGUAAGUUCCGACCCGCACGAAAGGCGUAACGAUUUGGGCACUGUCUCAACGAGAGACUCGGUGAAAUCAUAGUACCUGUGAAGAUGCAGGUUACCCGCGACAGGACGGAAAGACCCCGUGGAGCUUUACUGUAGCCUGAUAUUGAAAUUCGGCACAGCUUGUACAGGAUAGGUAGGAGCCUUUGAAACGUGAGCGCUAGCUUACGUGGAGGCGCUGGUGGGAUACUACCCUAGCUGUGUUGGCUUUCUAACCCGCACCACUUAUCGUGGUGGGAGACAGUGUCAGGCGGGCAGUUUGACUGGGGCGGUCGCCUCCUAAAAGGUAACGGAGGCGCUCAAAGGUUCCCUCAGAAUGGUUGGAAAUCAUUCAUAGAGUGUAAAGGCAUAAGGGAGCUUGACUGCGAGACCUACAAGUCGAGCAGGGUCGAAAGACGGACUUAGUGAUCCGGUGGUUCCGCAUGGAAGGGCCAUCGCUCAACGGAUAAAAGCUACCCCGGGGAUAACAGGCUUAUCUCCCCCAAGAGUUCACAUCGACGGGGAGGUUUGGCACCUCGAUGUCGGCUCAUCGCAUCCUGGGGCUGUAGUCGGUCCCAAGGGUUGGGCUGUUCGCCCAUUAAAGCGGUACGCGAGCUGGGUUCAGAACGUCGUGAGACAGUUCGGUCCCUAUCCGUCGUGGGCGUAGGAAAUUUGAGAGGAGCUGUCCUUAGUACGAGAGGACCGGGAUGGACAU